AGAGUUUGAUCCUGGCUCAGAUUGAACGCUGGCGGCGUGCCUAACACAUGCAAGUCGAGCGGCAGCGCGGGGGCAACCCUGGCGGCGAGCGGCGGACGGGUGAGCAAUAUUUGGGAAUCUGCCUAUUAGUGGGGGACAACCCGGGGAAACUCGGGCUAAUACCGCAUACGCACUACGGUGGAAAGCCGGGGACCGCAAGGCCUGGCGCUGAUAGAUGAGCCCAAAUCGGAUUAGCUAGUUGGUGAGGUAAUGGCUCACCAAGGCGACGAUCCGUAGCUGGUCUGAGAGGACGACCAGCCACACCGGAACUGAGACACGGUCCGGACUCCUACGGGAGGCAGCAGUGGGGAAUAUUGGACAAUGGGCGAAAGCCUGAUCCAGCGACGCCGCGUGGGUGAAGAAGGCCUGCGGGUUGUAAAGCCCUUUCGGUGGGGAAGAAAAGCCUCGACCUAACACGUCGGGGUCUUGACGUAACCCAUAGAAGAAGCACCGGCUAACUCUGUGCCAGCAGCCGCGGUAAUACAGAGGGUGCGAGCGUUAAUCGGAAUUACUGGGCGUAAAGCGCGCGUAGGCGGCUUUGCAAGUCGGGUGUGAAAUCCCCAGGCUUAACCUGUGAACUGCAUUCGAGACUGCAUUGCUAGAGUAUGGGAGAGGGAAGUGGAAUUUCCGGUGUAGCGGUGAAAUGCGUAGAUAUCGGAAGGAACAUCAGUGGCGAAAGCGACUUCCUGGACCAAUACUGACGCUCAUGUGCGAAAGCGUGGGGAGCAAACAGGAUUAGAUACCCUGGUAGUCCACGCCAUAAACGAUGACAACUGGAUGUCGGGAGGGUCUGCCUCUCGGUGUCGUAGCUAACGCGUUAAGUUGUCCGCCUGGGGAGUACGGCCGCAAGGUUGAAACUCAAAGGAAUUGACGG
rnacentral:rRNA from 1 species